GGCGGGAUAGCUCAGUUGGCAGAGCGGAGGACUCAUAAGCCUUAGGUCGCCGGUUCGACCCCGGCUCCCGCCACCA
rnacentral:tRNA from 2 species